GGAUCCAGACUUUGAUUCUGGCUCAGGAUGAACGCUAGCUACAGGCUUAACACAUGCAAGUCGAGGGGCAGCGGGAUUGAAGCUUGCUUCAAUUGCCGGCGACCGGCGCACGGGUGAGUAACGCGUAUCCAACCUUCCGUACACUCAGGGAUAGCCUUUCGAAAGAAAGAUUAAUACCUGAUAGUAUCUUAAGCACACAUGUAAUUAAGAUUAAAGAUUUAUCGGUGUACGAUGGGGAUGCGUUCCAUUAGGUAGUAGGCGGGGUAACGGCCCACCUAGCCAACGAUGGAUAGGGGUUCUGAGAGGAAGGUCCCCCACAUUGGAACUGAGACACGGUCCAAACUCCUACGGGAGGCAGCAGUGAGGAAUAUUGGUCAAUGGACGAGAGUCUGAACCAGCCAAGUAGCGUGAAGGAUGAAGGUCCUACGGAUUGUAAACUUCUUUUAUAAGGGAAUAAACCCUCCCACGUGUGGGAGCUUGUAUGUACCUUAUGAAUAAGCAUCGGCUAACUCCGUGCCAGCAGCCGCGGUAAUACGGAGGAUGCGAGCGUUAUCCGGAUUUAUUGGGUUUAAAGGGAGCGCAGACGGGUCGUUAAGUCAGCUGUGAAAGUUUGGGGCUCAACCUUAAAAUUGCAGUUGAUACUGGCGUCCUUGAGUGCGGUUGAGGUGUGCGGAAUUCGUGGUGUAGCGGUGAAAUGCUUAGAUAUCACGAAGAACUCCGAUUGCGAAGGCAGCACACUAAUCCGUAACUGACGUUCAUGCUCGAAAGUGUGGGUAUCAAACAGGAUUAGAUACCCUGGUAGUCCACACGGUAAACGAUGGAUACUCGCUGUUGGCGAUAUACUGUCAGCGGCUUAGCGAAAGCGUUAAGUAUCCCACCUGGGGAGUACGCCGGCAACGGUGCAACUCAAAUGAAUGACGG
rnacentral:rRNA from 1 species